UGUCUCCUCCCCCAGCUGGGGAGGCCUCACGGGGCCUGCAGGUGCUGAGUGUCCCUUACUGUUGUCCCUCACUGUUUGCACAGCCUCAUAAAUUGCAUCUGCCAGGCAGCUGCUCUGGCUACUCUGCUUUCCAGGUGAAAAGCUGUGAGCUUGGCGAGCAGUCACUUGCUCUGGGGGUGGUGCCACCCCUGCCCAGCCAAGCACCUUUGUCCUCUUUUCUGCCUGACUUGCUCUUCCAACCCAUUCUCUGAGCCUCGGCCCAGUGCUCCUUCCCUGAAGCCCUGACCCAGCCAGCAGCCCACUCCGCAGGCUCCUGCCACUGGGCUUUCUCAGGUCCUCCCAUCCCACCUGCUGUCACUGCUGGUUUGCGUGUCCAGCUCUUCCAGGACUUUGAGCCUUUAGGCUGAGGACACAUAGAGAACAGUUCUUAUUUAUCUCUAGAACUUUGAGCGAAUUCUCAGUAAACAUCUGAUGAGUGUUUAGGAAAUGAAUGAAGAAGAAACGAAUGGACAGCCAGCCUGAGAGCAGCAGCAGCACUAGCGCCAUGCAGCCCCAUGCAGGCCACACAGCAAUGUGACCUCCUGGGUGACACUUACCAUCGGAUUCAUCUCAAUUGAGUGGAGCAUAAUCUCACUGGAAUCCUGCAAGCUGUUGGCGAGGAAUUUGGAACACAGAAAGACACAGAGGAAAGAUCACAUGGACUCAGGGAGAAGGUCACCAGUGCAAGCCAAGAAGAGAGGCCUGAAAAGCGACCAGCUCUUGGGGCACUUGGGUCACGGACUGCAGGACUCUGAGCUUCUCUGUUGUUUAGGCCUCUCAGUCUGUGGUGCUUUGUCAUGGCGGCCCCAGCAGACAGACAACUGUGCUUCCAUGGUCAACUGACCAGCUGGCGAACUGGAAUGACAAGAAGACACUUGCAAGGUGCCUCAAGAGACAAGUGGACGUUAUGAAGCCAGAAGACAGAGUCUGAGAAGCUGAGCUGAAGCCACACAGCUGACCUGGCUGCUCAGCUCACAUCCCCUCCUGCCCGUGACUAUCUAGUUAAAGUUUCUCCUUGACUGAGAGGGUGGUUGUCUCAGGAGAGGCUGAAGGGGGUCAGCUCACAUAGACAGUAGGGGUUGUUGGUAAAAGUUACUUUGAUUAUAUGAUUAUAUGACGUUGGUAAAAGUUACUUUGUUAUAUGAUGUUUUCUCUGAUUUUUUUUUACAUAUUUUGUUAAAGUGAAAAAUCACCUUUCUGUUACUUAAAUAUUUUGCAUUGUUAGAAUGAAGAAUAGUUUGAUGUUACCUCCUAUCAGAUAAAUUUAAAAUUUCCUAGGUAGAUUUCCUUGUAUUUCAUUAUAAAAGUUAUUAUAUCUGUAACUGAGGCAGAACAGAAUUAGAGGCUCCUCUUGGUGUUCCCUGGAACCACCGGCCUUCUGACAAUGAAGCUUGUUUGGAUCUAUCCCAUCUCUGCAUAUUGGCUGGACAGUGACAGGUGACCAGACACUCUUGUCCAGUAACAAUUAUAUGAAAAGAAAAAUAUAGUCCCCAUUAAAAUGGCUGAUUAAUUGUUAAGUUUCAGUUCUGUGCAACUUCCACAGGGAGAGAAGUUGCUGAGGAUGGAGGGAAAGAGAAAAGAACACAUGAGUGGAAAGGCACAGCAGAGAUCAGGUGAAACAGGAAGAUGCUGAGCUCUUGGGAAGACAGAAACUACAGCCCUUAAGGGAGGCAGCAUGGCAGAGUACUAGGAAACAGCCUCCCCAGGAGGGAGGAAAUAAAGCACAAUGCCAGGAAAACCGUGAGAUGCCAUGGGGAGCUCUGUGGGGCGAGCUUCCCCCGCCAGCCCCCAUUUGUUCAGUCAGCAGCCAGGCAUGGCCACCUCCUAUGUCUUAGACACUGAGCUGCAAUCUGGACAUGCAAAAACCAUUCACACAGGAGCUGGAAUUUGGAACACGCCAGUCUAGAAAAAAGAAUUCUCCUUAAAAGCUUAAACCUCCUCCAGAGACGUCAGGUCCUCAGUUCUUGAUCUCCACAGAGCUUCCAGGCUCCGGGCAGGAAAUCCACAGUGAGGCCUGUCCCUGACACCCGGGAACAGGUGACUCCCUUGGGCUGGGAUGGGACUGGGUCUUCUCCAACAUCCCAGCUCUGACACAGGGCCAGGCAUGUAGCAGGUGUUGAAUAAAAAUUUCUUGAGUUAAUUAACUAAUGACUCAAAUAAUCACAUCUGUCAAUCCCAGGAGCCGUCACCGUGAGCCUGGCACACCUCCUCUCCUGUCCCUAGGUCCUCCCAGAAGGGACACAUAAGACGGUGAUGAGAAAACAUAAUUA